ACAGGGAUUGCCCUAGUAACGGCGAGUGAAGCGGCAACAGCUCAAAUUUGAAAUCUGGCUCUUUUAGGGUCCGAGUUGUAAUUUGCAGAGGGCGCUUUGGCUUUGGCAGCGGUCCAAGUUCCUUGGAACAGGACGUCACAGAGGGUGAGAAUCCCGUACGUGGUCGCUAGCUAUCGCCGUGUAAAGCCCCUUCGACGAGUCGAGUUGUUUGGGAAUGCAGCUCUAAAUGGGAGGUAAAUUUCUUCUAAAGCUAAAUAUUGGCCAGAGACCGAUAGCGCACAAGUAGAGUGAUCGAAAGAUGAAAAGCACUUUGGAAAGAGAGUCAAACAGCACGUGAAAUUGUUGAAAGGGAAGCGCUUGCAGCCAGACUUGCUUGCAGUUGCUCAUCCGGGCUUUUGCCCGGUGCACUCUUCUGUAGGCAGGCCAGCAUCAGUUUGGGCGGUGGGAUAAAGGUCUCUGUCACGUACCUCUCUUCGGGGAGGCCUUAUAGGGGAGACGACAUACCACCAGCCUAGACUGAGGUCCGCGCAUCUGCUAGGAUGCUGGCGUAAUGGCUGUAAGCGGCCCGUCUUGAAACACGGACCAAGGAGUCUAACAUCUAUGCGAGUGUUUGGGUGUCAAGCCCGAGCGCGUAAUGAAAGUGAACGGAGGUGGGAACCCGCAAGGGUGCACCAUCGACCGAUCCUGAAGUUUUCGGAAGGAUUUGAGUAAGAGCAUGGCUGUUGGGACCCGAAAGAUGGUGAACUAUGCUUGAAUAGGGUGAAGCCAGAGGAAACUCUGGUGGAGGCUCGCAGCGGUUCUGACGUGCAAAUCGAUCGUCAAAUUUGGGCAUAGGGGCGAAAGACUAAU
rnacentral:rRNA from 1 species